UCCGGUUUGGCACCGGCGGUCUCCCAUGAGUCCCCGGCAUGACCCGCUGGCAACAUGGGACAGGGGUUGCGCUCGUUGCGCCACUUAAGGCAACACCUCACGGCACGAGCUGACGACAGCCAUGCAGCACCUGUGCUAGCCCCUUACGGACACGGGCUUUCACCCGCUUUAACUAGCAUGUCAAACCCAGGUAAGGUGGGGAUGACGUGGAACGGUUGGUU
rnacentral:misc_RNA from 1 species